rnacentral:SRP_RNA from 1 species
GGGCAUGGUGGUGCACAUCUGAAAUCCCAGCUACUGGACUGGCUGAGACUGGCAGAUCUCUUGAGCUGGGAAAUUCUGACUUGCUGUGAACUAGAUUGCUAGAGUGUCUUCACUAAGCCCAGCAUCAUUAUAUGGUAAGGCCCCUGGGAGCUAGGCAGCCUAAGGAGGGGGAAAACCAGCCUAGAUCAGAAACAGAGCAGACCAAAGCUCCCAUGCCAGUCAGUAUUGGGAUUAGGCCCAUGGGUAGCCAUUGAAUUUUCAACCUGGGCAACAUAGGGAGACCCAGUCUUU